UACGUAGGGGGCUAGCGUUGUCCGGAAUCAUUGGGCGUAAAGAGCGUGUAGGCGGUCCGGUAAGUCCGCUGUGAAAGUCGGGGGCUCAACCCUCGAAUGCCGGUGGAUACUGUCGGGCUAGAGUGCGGAAGAGGCGAGUGGAAUUCCUGGUGUAGCGGUGAAAUGCGCAGAUAUCAGGAGGAACACCGGUGGCGAAGGCGGGUCUCUGGGCCGAUAUUGACGCUGAGGAGCGAAAGCGUGGGGAGCGAACAGGA
rnacentral:rRNA from 1 species